GCCAGGCACGGUGACGUGCACCUGCAGUCCCAGCUACUCGGGAGGCUGAGGAUGGAGGAUUGCUUGAGCCCAGGAGUUCUGGGCUGUAGUGCGCUAUGCCGAUUGGGUGUCCGCACUAAGUUCGGCAUCAAUAUGGUGACCUCCUGGGAGCAGGGGGGCCACCAGGUUGCCUAAGGAGGGGGGAACCGACUCAGGUCGGAGAUGGAGCAGGUCAAAGCUCCCGUGCUGAUCAGUAGUGGGAUCGUGCCUGUGAAUAGCCACUGCACUCAGCCUGGGCAACAUAGCGAGACCCUGUCUCUU
rnacentral:SRP_RNA from 1 species